rnacentral:rRNA from 2 species
AAAUUAUUAUGGAUUU